CCUACGGGUGGCAGCAGUGAGGAAUAUUGGUCAAUGGACGAGAGUCUGACCCAGCCAAGCCGCGUGAAGGAUGACUGCCCUCUGGGUUGUAAACUUCUUUUAUAUGGGAAUAAACUGUUCCACGUGUGGGCUUUUGUAUGUACCAUAUGAAUAAGGAUCGGCUAACUCCGUGCCAGCAGCCGCGGUAAUACGGAGGAUCCGAGCGUUAUCCGGAUGUAUUGGGUUUAAAGGGAGCGUAGGUGGAUUGUUAAGUCAGUUGUGAAAGUUUGCGGCUUAACCGUAAAAUUGCAGUUGAAACUGGCAGGCUAGAGUACAGUAGAGGUGGGCGGAAUUCGUGGUGUAGCGGUGAAAUGCUUAGAUAUCACGAAGAACUCCGAUUGCGAAGGCAGCUCACUGGACUGCAACUGACACUGAGGCUCGAAAGUGUGGGUAUCAAACAGGAUUAGAUACCCGGGUAGUC
rnacentral:rRNA from 1 species